rnacentral:lncRNA from 1 species
AGUUUUUGUCUUUUUAUCUAAUACUAUAUGCCAUAGGUCAACUAUAUUUGGUGUAUGGAAGCAUUGUUAGCUGUACAUGUCUGCCUGGCAUGGUUCAUCUGACCUUGACCUCAUUUUCAAGGUUCAUUGGUCUUUGUUUAGUUAUCUUGGUUAAUGUUAAGUUUAUGUGACAGUUGUAAUAAAGCUUAGCUUAUUAAUUAUUCUUAGGACUAUCAACAUAAUAUCAAUGAUUAGUAUAGAAGGCGAGACAUUUCAGCGUGUGCACUCUUGUAUACUUAUUUCAGUUCCUAUUGUUAAUUAUCCAUUUUUAGAUGGCGACGUUCCCUUGUCACAAUCUUACGAUGUUUAUAUAUGUCAGCUUGUACGAUCCGC